rfam:Eutrema salsugineum unplaced genomic scaffold scaffold_11, whole genome shotgun sequence.
AAUCCAUGAUGAGGGCAAUCACGUUCAUACUCCUUAAAACGUUCCCAAGCUUUAUAGAAAGAUUCAGUUGGCCCUUGUUGAAAGUUUGAGAUCUUCGUUCUCAGAUU